UGGGGAAUAUUGCACAAUGGGCGAAAGCCUGAUGCAGCAACGCCGCGUGAGCGAUGAAGGCCUUUGGGUCGUAAAGCUCUGUCCUUGGGGAAGAAAAAAAUGACGGUACCCAAGGAGGAAGCCCCGGCUAACUACGUGCCAGCAGCCGCGGUAAUACGUAGGGGGCAAGCGUUAUCCGGAAUUAUUGGGCGUAAAGAGUGCGUAGGCGGUUUUAUAAGCCUAGGGUGAAAGGCAAUGGCUUAACCAUUGUAAGCCUUAGGAACUGUAAGACUUGAGUGCAGGAGAGGAGAGCGGAAUUCCUAGUGUAGCGGUGAAAUGCGUAGAUAUUAGGAGGAACACCAGUGGCGAAGGCGGCUCUCUGGACUGUAACUGACGCUGAGGCACGAAAGCGUGGGGAGCAAACA
rnacentral:rRNA from 1 species